GUGCCUGUGAUCACUUGGACCUUCUCAGGAAGGUCCUCAACGGCUGCUCCUGCUCCUGCAUCUGCUGUGAUGGCUCCUCCCCUAUAUCAGUGGAGGUCUGUUGAUCAUGCUGCUCAGGAAUAACUGGUGCUGUCGGAUCAUCUACGGACUGAGCGAUCCUCUCAACCCUCUCAUCCAGAUAUACGGAUGAAUCUGAAAAGAAAGUGUCAUACUCAUAUGGUCAACUGGUACCCGAUGAUAUCAUCUGAGGGAUGUAAGAAGAAGAAGGCCCUACCAUCUGUGGAUUAAAAGAUGGUGGCAUCUGUGUAGCAUGUAGUGAUGACAUUUGCGAAAUAUGCAGUGAUGGCAUAUGUAGAAUAUAUGGUGACGGCAUAUAUCUCAUAUCUGACGCAUCGACUGUUCCAUAUUAAGGCGCACAGCUAUCUGGGUCAAUAUCAAUUGCCACCAAUGUUUCUGAACUUGUUCUCUCUAUCUCACGCAGUAUCCGAAUCCGCUCGUCCUCAUUAGUCGUAGAUAAAGCACGACGAGCGUCCAACAUAAGAUCCGACAUAGAAUCAAUCAACAUAAUAAAAAUAAAAUUAGUAAUAUACUGUAAAAUAUAAAAUAAAAAUAUAACACAAACAACAUAAACUAUUUUUCAAUCUUAAUUAUUAGAAGUAAAGACAUUGAUAUAAAAUAUAAUUUUCGUGGUCUUAUCA
rnacentral:lncRNA from 1 species